AACGAACGCUGGCGGCAGGCUUAACACAUGCAAGUCGAACGCCCCGCAAGGGGAGUGGCAGACGGGUGAGUAACGCGUGGGAAUCUACCGUACCCUACGGAACAACAGUUGGAAACGACUGCUAAUACCGUAUACGCCCUUAGGGGGAAAGAUUUAUCGGGGUAUGAUGAGCCCGCGUUGGAUUAGCUAGUUGGUGGGGUAAAGGCCUACCAAGGCGACGGUCCAUAGCUGAUCUGAGAGGAUGAUCAGCCACAUUGGGACUGAGACACGGCCCAAACUCCUACGGGAGGCAGCAGUGGGGAAUAUUGGACAAUGGGCGCAAGCCUGAUCCAGCCAUGCCGCGUGAGUGAUGAAGGUCUUAGGAUUGUAAAGCUCUUUCACCGGUGAAGAUAAUGACGGUAACCGGAGAAGAAGCCCCGGCUAACUUCGUGCCAGCAGCCGCGGUAACAC
rnacentral:rRNA from 1 species